AUUGAACGCUGGCGGCAGGCCUAACACAUGCAAGUCGAGCGGGGUUUUCGGACCUAGCGGCGGACGGGUGAGUAAUGCGUAGGAAGCUGCCCGAUAGAGGGGGAUACCAGUUGGAAACGACUGUUAAUACCGCAUACGACCUACGGGUGAAAGCAGGGGACCUUCGGGCCUUGCGCGAUUGAAUGAGCCGAUGUCGGAUU
rnacentral:rRNA from 1 species